UCACUCACGAACAUUCUCCCCCAAAUCUCAGCCCCCAACCUAGCUCUCUCUCCAUCGGCCGGCGGCCGGCUGCGCCCCGAAUCCCUCGCCGUCGGCUGCGCCCCCAAAUCCCUCGCCUAUUCCAUUCUCUCGUUCGCCCCCUCCGCCCCCAAAUCCCUCGCCUCUUCCAUCCUCUUGUCCGCCCCCUCCGCCUGAUUCGUUGGUCAGUAGCCCAAUGACCCGCUGCCUCCGAAGUGUCGCCGGCAAAGCUUCCCGCGGCUUCCGGAAGAGGGUCGUCGUCAACGACCCCGUGGCCGCCGUCGCUCAACCACCGCAUCCUUCCCUGAGCGGCGGCCUUUCCAAUCCAGGUUACAUGACUUCUGAAGUUAUUUCACUUGUUGACGAGAAAGAAAACAUAGUUAAACUGCUGAUUGUCAAGGAUUAGAUCUUGGAUUUGCUAGUGGAUUUUGGGAGUUUCUUAGCCAGCUUGGUGACUCCAUAUUUUUCACUAUUUCAGCAAGUCUUUGAAUUUGUUAAAUGGCAGAUCGUGCAUGGAUGUAUAAUGGUGGCAGUAUGGUCAAAUUCCCUCUAACCUAUGGCUUGAACAAACCAACCGAUUUCUAGAGCAUGCAUUCUCUUUUCCAGGCGUAGCCCAAGGUGGUAAAAUCAAGUGUCCAUGUGCCAAGUGUCGUAAUUAUAAUAAGCGAAGUAGGGAUGAGGUAGAGAAACACUUGUAUAAAUACGGGUUCAGGGAAAACUAUGAAACAUGGAUAGAACAUGGUGAGAAGUAUGUUCCUAGCCAAGAGGGAUCUUCCUCUGCCACAAACUGUGCGAGGCAUGAUGAAAUUGACCGAAUGGACAAUAUGUUAGUUGACCUAGGUGGCAACUGUCCUCCACCGAUUGAUGAAGAACCAACCUCCUGUGCCAAGGCUUUCUAUAGGAUGGUUAGCAAUGCUGAUGAAAUUGUCCAUGAGAACACAACACCCUCGCGUCUUUCUGCAGUAGCUCGUUUGCUAGCACUAAAAUCUCAGUACAAUAUGUCAAUUGCAGAAUAUGAUGAUGUGUUACAAAUCAUCCAUGAACUUAUGCCUCCGGGUGCUAACUUGUCCAAGGACUUCUACCAAUCUAAGAAACUCUUAGAAGGCCUUGGUAUGCCUUAUGUCAAGAUUGAUGUGUGUAAAAAUAAUUUCAUGUUGUAUUAUAAAGAUAAUGAACAUAAAGACAAGUGUGACAUCUUCGGUACAUCUCGCUAUGAGGAAGGCCAGAAUAAAGUCCCACAUAAAGUGUUGAGAUAUCUCCCUCUUAAAGAUAGAUUACAGAGGUUGUAUGCUCAUGAGGAAAUAGCAAAACAUAUGCAGUCACAUAGUCGUUCCAAUUCUGGUAAGAUGGUGCACCCUAUCGAUGGUGAAGCUUGGCAAGGGUUUGGCAAGGACUUCCCAGAAUUUGCAGAAGAUCGUAGAAAUGUCCGUCUUGUCAUAGCCGGUGAUGGUUUUACACCAUACAAGUUGAAUGCUGCUCCAUAUACUUGCUGGCCUAUUUUUGUAGCUCCAUUAAACCUUCCACCGGAUAUUCUCUUAAAACCAGAGUAUAUAUUCCUUAGCCUUGUAUCCCUGGUCCUGAACAUCCUAAAAAAAAUUUGAGUGUCCUAAUGCAACCUUUAGCUGAUGAACUGAUGCAAUUGUGGACGGGGGUUGAAACAUGGGAUGCUUAUCACAAGGUAAACUUUCCAAUGAAAGCGGCAUUUCUAUGGUCAGUCCACGACUUUCCUGCCUUUGGUAUGUUCGCUGGGUGGAGCACCCAUGGUAAGCUAGCAUGCCCUGAAUGCAUGAGUGAUUCCAAAGCAUUUACUCUUCAAUACGGGCGGAAGCCUUGCUGGUUUGAUUGUCAUAGGCGCUUUCUACCUCCAGAUCAUGAAUUCAGAUUCCAGGCUAAUUCAUUUAGAAAGGAUACAAUAGUGUUAGAAGGGCCUCCAAGGCAUUUAACAGGAGAGGAAGUGGAAUCUCACAUGUACACACAUGUGAAUGACAUCUUCAAUUACAAUAAAUUGCACAAAUGGACUCACAUAAGCUGCUUUUGGCAACUUCCAUACUUCAAAAAGGUGAAGCUCCGACACAACAUCGAUGUGAUGCACAAUGAAAAAAAUGUAGCUGAAGCUAUAUUUAACACAUGCUUUGACAUUCCUGAUAAAACUAAAGAUAAUGUGAAGGCAAGAAAAGAUCUAGCUGAAAUUUGCAACCGUCCUUCGAUGCACUUGAAAUUGCAAGACAAUGGGAAGUGGGAGAAGCCAAGAGCACCUUUUGUCAUCGAUAAGAACGAUGUGAUAACCAUUCUGAAAUGGUUCCAAGAGCUGAAGUUCCCUGAUGGGUAUGCAUCAAGCUUUAGACGGGGAGUUAGCCUACUACACAAAAAGAUUUUUGGCCUCAAAAGUCAUGAUUACCAUAUCUUCAUGGAACGCCUACUUCCUGUUUCAUUUCGUGGCUUCCUUCCAGAGGACAUAUGGAAGUGUCUAGCAGAGCUAAGUUAUUUCUAUAAGAAGCUAUGUGCAAAAGAACUUAGCAAGGAUACCAUACAUUCACUUGAGUAGAAUGUUGUUGUUCUUGUAUGCAAAUUGGAGAAGAUAUUCCCUCCUGGUUUCUUCAAUCCCAUGCAACAUUUAAUCAUACAUCUUCCAUACCAAGCUCGGCUAGGAGGUCCUGUAUUAGCUCGAUGGAUGUACAUCUAUGAAGAUGUAUAGGGAAACUUAAAUCAAAAGUACGCAAUAAGGCUCGAGUUGAGGGUUCCAUUGUUGAGGCUUAUCUAGUUGAGGAGGCAACCAAUUUUCUCUCCAUGUAUUUCAAACACAAUGCCCGGUCAGUUAGGAACAAGGUGCCUCGCUAUGAUGACGGCGCCUCUACAUUUGUAGCCAAAUGCAACCUUGGCAUAUUUCAAUUCCCUGGUCGAUGCAUGAGUCCUCAAGGAACUUAUGAGCUCUCAACAGAAGAGUAUAAGGCUGCAUUCUUGUACAUAUUGACAAACAUCCCGGAGAUGGAGGAUUUGUUCGAGAGAUGGUUGUGCUUCGUCAUAGAAGUACUAGACGCGGUGCCAAGCGUGCUAACCAGAAUACUGUUGCUGGUAUAGGCAGCCCCAACAAUGAUAGCUCGCAAAUGUCUCGAUCUGAUGGCGUCAAUACUACUGCUCCUUUAUCUCAAAACAGUAAAGUGAUCCAAAGGCAGCCCACGUCUCGUCAAAAGGGGAGGAAAAGGAGGGCCACGGCAGAACUAAGAGUGCCUCCACAUUGUCAUAAAGUUGGCCUUGAACCGGAAGGUGACAUGUAUGGUUGUUUCUUCACAUGUGCUUUUAUGCUUGAACUUAGUAUCAUCCUCUCAGUAAAUGCUGCUUACCUUGUUGUUUAGGCAAUUUAAUUAUGCUGACCCUAAUUCCAAACACUACAAGUAUACUAUGCAACUUGGAAUCAUUCUUAAACGAGAACACCCCGGCAUAAUUGAGAAGAAGGAAGGUGGUGUUGUCAUUAAAACCCGUCCAGCUUUGGAGUGGUUUGAUUAUUAUGAUGAUGAUACUCUAGAUGAUAAGGGGCAGACAGCAGCAGAUCGUGUGAAGCAAGUGUUUUGGAACUUGUUUGAGGUUCAUGUGAAAGAUGGUGAAGACCCGGACAAGGUAGAGGAUGAUGCUGAUCGUGUGUUGGACAACUAUGCAAUGAAAAAAGUGAGGGGCAUGAUGUAUCAAGUUCGUGUGGAUGCUGUGAAGUUCUACUAUGAGAAGAAAGGAGAGCUGCUUGAUGACACAUUGGCAUGUUCAAAAGAACUUGAAUAUGAUCAGUACCUGGAAGGCAGAAUGCCAUGGUUUAAGGAACAUGCAUGGCCUCAUCUUUGUGCUUAUUGGUGCUCAAAAGAGUGAAGAUAUUGCUCAAAAUCGGGGAGGUUCACUGCCAUUUGUGGAGGCUCGACAAAUUCUGGCACAGAAAUAUGGGUCUGAGAAGGCUACCACCCUGAAUACGUAUGCUGCAAUGAAAUCUGGAUUAAAGAAUUGGGAUGGCAGUGGCAGCAUCAGUUCCAUCCUCAGCGGGAAGGCAAAAAACGCCACGAUGAUUACUGUGAUUUGGCUAGAGCCGCACAUCCUGAUGAUUGGGAGGAGUGAGAGUUAGAUGGGCAAAUGUUAUAUGAGUCAUCAGGUGGCAUUCCUCAUGGGCGACUAGCAAUAGCGUAUGGAGCAAUUAAGAAGGCUGAUGUUAUCUCAAUAGCUAGAGAGAAGAAACUGAGGCCGUUAUCUUCAGCAUCAUUUCGGCGAACUAUUCAAGAAAAUGAAGAACUGAAGCGACGAGCUAUUCAAGAAAAUGAAGAACUGAAGCGACGUAAUGAGAACCUUCAAAAGAUAGUGGAUAUGCAUGGAAGACUUUUCUUGGCCCUUUUUAAGGAGAUGGGAAAAGAACUACCAGAGGAGCUACGCCAAGGAGAAAGUUUCCAACCACAUGGGGGCACUAAUUCAUCUCAAAUUGAAACCCAAGCACUUGAUGACAACACCGGUGAUGGUGAUUUGGGUGGAACUGUUGGCGGUGACAACUCCAAUGGGAAUAUUGGCGACAUGGCUAUUGGUGCUACUAACCUUCACUGCAACAACCUGGAAAGCGAGACUUAGAGUGGUAGUAACCUGGUUAGUGCCUUUGUUGACUUAGAGCAGGGUAACACAACUUUGGAACUAAUGGUGGUAUUGGUAAUAGAGUAGCAUUUUGGAAGUUGCAAUAGACACUAGAGGCAGGUUAUCUACUUCUGUGAAGUAUGUUGUAUUUUGUUUGUAAUGCAGUGAAGCUUAUCCUUGCAACUUGCAAGUUGAACAAUUUAUCUUUUGUUGUUGAGAACUGUUAUGUACUUAGAUAUGCAAAACUAAAUCUUAUCAGUCCAAUUUAUGGUAGUGGUUGACACAAGGAUCA